GGGCAAUUUGUGGGGUCGGGAUGGGCCAGGCUGGGCCCGACCAAUGUGACGAACAUGUCGGGGCACGUCCAGGCCUUUCCAUACCCACCUUAGACUUAGUCUGGAUAUUAGGAGUGCCGGUCAACUUGAACUUAUAGAAUCGAUGUGAGAAGCCCGCGGUUUAGCGAUCGGGCAUUGACCGGAUGUACGCCCGAGCAAUUUGGGCACCCGGUCGUAGAUGCCCUGAGAUCUCGGACACUUGAGAGGCCACUCCCAGCCUACUUGGCUGUAGAUGUCCUGAGCAGCCGCCGGGCUAUCAUUGCCAGUAUACAGUGCAUAGAACUCAGAUUUUUAGCAUAAAAAUCGAGAGAUAUUUGUUGCCAUGGAUUGGAAGGUGAAAGGAAUGGGUGAUGGCUACUGCCAUUACUACCACAUCCGCCACCUAUUUCUUCUUGCUUUGCUUGCACCCUGCAACACCAAUUCCUUUAGCUUCCACUUUCGUCUUUCGACCCCUAUGACGUCUGCCACUCCAAGAGGAUGGUGAAGAACUGAAGAUUCAUGCCUCUUAAGAGCAGACAGGAAGAAGGUUCUGCCUCACCAAGGUAAGCUCUCCUUCAAUUCUUCAUGUUCUUUUCCCCGUUAGGGAUGAUUUCUGGGCCCUUAUUCAGAGCGAUGCUUGCAGAAGCGAGGUUGUGGUGUUGCUGGAUGCGAUGGUGCCGUGGAGGAUGGAGGCGCGGCUGGCGGCCACGGUGCGGGCGGCGCUCCUCGGCUGGCUCUUCUUCUGCCUCACCGUCGCCAGCGACGUCGCACGCCAACUCAGGAGCAGCGAUCUCUCCGUCUAAGGCCGGCCGCGUUGACAUCGCCGGCGGCAAAGAACAGACUCUGCGUCUACGAAGUGCCACUCCAUCUGGUGCACAGGAAGAAGAUUGAUUUACAGCAGGGUAACCAGAUGCGAUUUUGCAACGAACCCGCAGUUAGGUGCAGGUGCUCGUCUUUAGAAGACGGUUGUCCUUGAGACUCAUUGAGCAGAUGAUCCCUGUAAAUUUUCAACUAAAGCGUGUUGUUCCUUGGCUCAUUUUGGGGGGUCAGCAUGGUUAAUUUCCAGCUAGCAUCACUGACUACGACCUGAAAUGCCUUUUUUGGUGAAAUUACCACCUGAAAUACUAAAUCAUUACACCUUAACGGUUUUGUCAUUAGUUAUUAACAUUAAAACCCAUUAGGGGGUCCAGCUCCACUUUUAAUCUGAAAUGUGGGUCCCAUGAUGAGAUGGCCUAGCAAAUAAUUAUUGCCGUCGGUCUCAUGUGGGGCAAAACGCCCUCUAAAUCACCUCACAUGCUCUCAGGAGUCAGGAGCCGGAUUAUUUUAAUGUUUUUUUGUAAUGUUUGAGGAUAGUAGAUUCACAAUAUCAGAUAUUUAGUUUGUAUCGUUUUGACUUCGGCAUAUCGGAUGGUAUAUCAUACGAUAUUUAGUUAUAUCGAAGAGAACAAAUUUGAA
rnacentral:lncRNA from 1 species